rnacentral:rRNA from 1 species
AACGAACGCUGGCGGCGUGCUUAACACAUGCAAGUCGAACGCGAAAGGGACUUCGGUCCUGAGUAAAGUGGCGCACGGGUGAGUAACGCGUAGAUAACCUGUCUUCAUGUCUGGAAUAAUACGCCGAAAGGGGUACUAAUACCGGAUAUUCUUGCUUUUCAUAAGUUAUGCAAGCAAAGGUGGCCUCUGCAUAUGCUACUGCAUGAAGAGGGGUCUGCGUACCAUUAGCUAGUAGGUGGGGUAAUGGCCUACCUAGGCGACGAUGGUUAGCGGGUCUGAGAGGAUGAUCCGCCACACUGGCACUGGAACACGGGCCAGACUCCUACGGGAGGCAGCAGUGAGGAAUAUUGCGCAAUGGGGGAAACCCUGACGCAGCGACGCCGCGCGAGUGAGGAAGGCCUUCGGGUCGUAAAGCUCUGUCAAGAGGAAAGAAGUGUACAAUGGCUAAUACCUGUUGUAUUUGACGGUACCUCUAAAGGAAGCACCGGCUAACUCCGUGCCAGCCGCCGC